GUAGGGAAUCUUCGGCAAUGGGGGGAACCCUGACCGAGCAACGCCGCGUGAGUGAAGAAGGUUUUCGGAUCGUAAAGCUCUGUUGUAAGAGAAGAACGGGUGUGAGAGUGGAAAGUUCACACUGUGACGGUAUCUUACCAGAAAGGGACGGCUAACUACGUGCCAGCAGCCGCGGUAAUACGUAGGUCCCGAGCGUUGUCCGGAUUUAUUGGGCGUAAAGCGAGCGCAGGCGGUUAGAUAAGUCUGAAGUUAAAGGCUGUGGCUUAACCAUAGUAUGCUUUGGAAACUGUUUAACUUGAGUGCAGAAGGGGAGAGUGGAAUUCCAUGUGUAGCGGUGAAAUGCGUAGAUAUAUGGAGGAACACCGGUGGCGAAAGCGGCUCUCUGGUCUGUAACUGACGCUGAGGCUCGAAAGCGUGGGGAGCAAACAGG
rnacentral:rRNA from 1 species